rnacentral:ncRNA from 1 species
UAGUUUACUUGUGUUUACGUUAUAAUAUAAUCAUUAUAUAAAUAGCUAGUAAUUGAACCCCCAAUCUGUUCAUCUAAGAUUCUCCCCUGCAUAUACAUAAGAGCAACUUUUUUUUUGGUGUUGGCGUCUGAUUAGCUAGUUGGUGAGGCAAUAGCUUACCAAGGCGAUGAUCAGUAGCUGGUCCGAGAGGAUGAUCAGCCACACUUGGACUGAGACACGGCCCAGACUCCUACAGGAGGCAGCAGUGGGGAAUUUUCCGCAAUGGGCGAAAGCCUGACGGAG